CAGAUUGAACGCUGGCGGCAGGCCUAACACAUGCAAGUCGAACGGUAACAGGAAGCAGCUUGCUGCUUCGCUGACGAGUGGCGGACGGGUGAGUAAUGUCUGGGAAACUGCCUGAUGGAGGGGGAUAACUACUGGAAACGGUAGCUAAUACCGCAUAACGUCGCAAGACCAAAGAGGGGGACCUUCGGGCCUCUUGCCAUCGGAUGUGCCCAGAUGGGAUUAGCUAGUAGGUGGGGUAACGGCUCACCUAGGCGACGAUCCCUAGCUGGUCUGAGAGGAUGACCAGCCACACUGGAACUGAGACACGGUCCAGACUCCUACGGGAGGCAGCAGUGGGGAAUAUUGCACAAUGGGCGCAAGCCUGAUGCAGCCAUGCCGCGUGUAUGAAGAAGGCCUUCGGGUUGUAAAGUACUUUCAGCGGGGAGGAAGGCGAUAAGGUUAAUAACCUUGUCGAUUGACGUUACCCGCAGAAGAAGCACCGGCUAACUACG
rnacentral:rRNA from 2 species